ensembl:lncRNA
ACUUUUUAGAAUAAUUCAAGCCUUUGGGCUUCUUGCAGGGAACCCACGUGCUAAUUAGCAGCCCGGUUUUCCAGAGCAGACAGGGAUGCUCUCCCGGAAUUCCUGCCCGGAGGAGAGCACAGGACACGGGUGCCGGUGUUACACGGUGUUACGGAUCACAGGUGCUGCUCCAGUGGUCACAGCCCAACAGAAAAGUUCCUCUGCUGUGGAUGGCUUGGCCUUGCUCUGCAGAGGAAUGCCAUGGAGUCAGCUUCCUGAUUUUUCACACCUGAGCAGGAGAGGAUGGACAGUCCUGGAUCAGCCCCUCGGUGCCGACAGCGCUUCCUGAGGAGAUCAGAGCAAUGAACAACUGGGCACUGCUGGAGCAGCAGGGAAACCUCUCCUGGGGGAUGUGGAGCUGCUCCAGGAGGACAAUCCAGUUCCACCAGGAACACCAAGGGACACGGGAUGUCACAGCAGCAGCAGGACCCACUGCAGCCCCACUGGAUUUCGGCUUCCUGGUUGUCCUGGUGCUUGGAAAACCUCUCAGUCACCUCAUGUCACACCUGGCUCCUGGGAAAUGCUCUGGAUGGAUGGAUGCACUGCUGCAGUGGGGGUGGAAUCACAGGCAGGAAUAAAGGCAAAAGAAGGGAAAUCUUUCUCUGGGAAUCCCCACCCCUGGAAGUGUCCAAGGCCAGGCUGGAAGGGGCCUGGAGCAGCCUGGGCUAGUGGAAGGUGUCCCUGCCCAUGGCAGGGGGUGGGAUGAGAUGAUCUUUAAUGUCUCUUCCAACCCAAAGCAGUCUCUGAUCCUUCAGGGAAAGGCUGGGAAAACAAUCCAUGAUCGUAUUUCCCCUCCCAUUCCAGCUGCUGUCCCACCUCACCCCAGGCCUCGUGUUCUUAUUUUAAAGAAUUAAAGCCCCACUGAUCCGAACAAGGUCAAGUGUUCCUUUGCCAUCUCCCAAGCCACAGUCCCACCUCUGCCUCUGCUCCUGAAACGGCUCCAUUUGCAUAAAUUCGUCUGCAAACAAUUAAAGUUAAUUAAGAUAAUUUAUCACUUGAAAGUAAAGCGUUUUAUCAGCAGGUAUCAGCCUGUAAAGCAAACAAAGAACCAGUUGUAGGGGAAUAGCUGGGGCCUUAUUACCCUGUUAGACAUGAAGUGACAAAAACCCGCUGGUUAUGACGCUUUGUAGGGUCCCAGUGCUUUGUUUGCAAAGUAAUUAACUGCAAUUAGCUAAUCAUCCUCUGUAGGAGCUGCAUGUGUGACUCUGCACUAACACGGACUCAUUUACACCUUGGCUGCUGUCCCACACACAAACUGGGAGACACAAGUUUUGGGAGCAGCCCGAAGUUCUUGUCUGUGGGCACAAAUGGGAUAUUGGGAAGAGCUUUGAGGGACAGAAUGGAUCUGAUGGGUGUUCCUUGGGAAUCUCCUCUCCACUGCUUCCAGCAGGGUUUAUUGCAUCCUGAUAUCCAGUGUCUGCAGGAACUGUAAAAAUAAUGCACUUAGGGGAAAAAAUACCCAUUAUCAUUGCUCAAAGCCCAUCCAACCCGGCCUCGAGCAAUUCCAGGGGUGGGGCAUCUCCCAGUUUCACUGGGAUCAACUCCCCUCAUCAGCAAACACAAAACUUGUUUCAUCAA